GGGGGCGACAUGGCUUCGACGUGGGUAGCGAAACCUUAAGUGCAUGCCGAGCACAGUACAGCUCGUAAAACCUACUGAAAAAAAGUAUUCGCAAAUGACGAAAACUACUCAAUGG
rnacentral:tmRNA from 1 species